rnacentral:rRNA from 1 species
AUACGUAGGGGGCGAGCGUUGUCCGGAAUGAUUGGGCGUAAAGGGCGCGUAGGCGGCCCGGUAAGUCUGGAGUGAAAGUCCUGUUUUUAAGAUGGGAAUUGCUUUGGAUACUGUCGGGCUUGAGUGCAGGAGAGGUAAGUGGAAUUCCGAGUGUAGCGGUGAAAUGCGUAGAGAUUGGGAGGAACACCAGUGGCGAAGGCGACUUACUGGACUGUAACUGACGCUGAGGCGCGAAAGUGUGGGGAGCAAACAGGAUUAGAUACCCUGGUAGUCCACACUGUAAACGAUGAAUGCUAGGUGUAGGGGGUAUCGACCCCUUCUGUGCCGCAGUCAACACAAUAAGCAUUCCGCCUGGGGAGUACGGCCGCAAGGUUGAAACUCAAAUGAAUUGACGGGG